AUGAUCAAGAAGGCCAUCUUCGGCGGUGUUAACUUGCUCGUUGUCGAGCCGGAAGAAAGCACGCAUGGCCCCUAUAACAUCAUCAGGAAGCUUAUUUUUGAACUGAGCAGCAAAGGAAGCAAUUGCCUUCUCUGUAAUAUCUUCGCCAUCCUAGACAAUGCCCAGGUUGCGGCAGAUGCUUGCCUGAGCCUGUCUUGCUUGCGGUGUCUUCUGCGUUUGUCCACCAGCAUGAACACGUGCACUGACUCGCUUGACAAGCAGCCCAACACUGGUAAUGUUGACGCCCGCCAUCGUCUUCUGGCGAGCAGUGGGAGGCACCGGGGCAGGCGAAGCUGGCGUGCCCAGGAGCGGAGCCGUAGCUGGCACAAAGAGCUGUUCCAGCCCGGCCAGGCCGAGCUCAAGCUGCCUCGAGCGUGCCGGAGAGGGAGUGCGUCGCGGCGUCCACAUGGAGACCAGAGGUGGAGUGGGAGAGGCCUCGAAGCCCGGUGGUCUUGA
rnacentral:rRNA from 1 species